AUAGUGGACGGGGCGGGGCGAGAAUAGUACAACGCUGCGGCGAACUAGGGACAGCAGGAAGGGAAGCCUUAGUUAAGGAGAUCCGCGGCCGAGGAAGGGCAGCGAGAGAACCUUCUGCGCGUCCACUUCGCCUGGGCCCGCGCCUCAUCGUGUGCACAUGCGUAGAAGGAUGACCAGGAUUGGUGUGUGGAACGGUCUCAACCUCUGGUCGCAACCAAUCUGGACGCGCCGGGGGUGGGUCUUAACCCUCUGACAAUCUGCGCGCGCAUUGCUCUUGGCGCGCAUUUCUUCCAGCGAUGGAGUCGGAGCUGGUACGCCGCCUCGCCCCGCGUCUCGGCCUUGCGGAGCCGAGUGUACUGAGGAAAGCAGAGGAGUUCCUGCGGCUGUCUAAGGUGAAGUGUGUCAGUCUGUCUGCACGUAGCUCAGAAACCAGCAAUGCUGUCAUAUGCCUGGACCUUGCAGCUUCCUGUAGGAAGUGCCCCUUGGAUAGAGCAUAUUUAAUUAGGCUCUCUGGUUUGAACAAGAUGGUGUAUCAGAGCUGUCUUAAAUCUUUUGAGUGUUUACUAGGAUUAAAUUCAAAUGUUGGAAUCAGAGACCUAGCUGUACAGUUCAGCUGUACAGAAGCAGUGAACUUGGCUGCAGAGAUACUGCAGAGCUACGAGUCUGGUCUUCCUGAAACACAGCGAGCAGAUCUUGACUUGUCCAGGCCACUUUUCACCACUGCCGCACUACUCUCAGCAUGCAAGAGACUCUGCAGAUUUAGCUAGACCAGCACUGAAGAGAAAGAAGCCAGAGUUUAGUCCAACACUGAAGAAAAAGGAGCCAGGACUUGAACCACCAGCAAAAGAAAUAGAAGUAAUAGAAACCCUUCAUAAACUACCUAAAGAUGAAGAUCUGACACAGGAUUAUGAAGAAUGGAAAAGGAAGAUUUUGGAAAAUGCUGCCAAAGCUCAGACAGCCACAGCAGAGUGAUUUCCAUCUCACUGCAGGCAUGUGCAGUCUGUCUGGGAGAUGAAGGGUGUGGAAGUCUUCUCUAAGCCUGAAUUCCAGGUGUGCUGAGGAGUGUCUCAGUACAGAGGAUGCUAGCACUGGGCACCUCACAUGGACAUUAGAUCAACCAUAUUGCCUCUGAAGACUCAGAUCUGUCCUCUCACGUGGGGUGAAAUUGGGACCAUUUUGCUUCUAUGUGUUUAAGAAAAUUUCCUGACUAAACCUAGAAUGCAAAUUUCAAGCUGAAAGACAUCUCAGACAUUUUAUUUGGUUUUGUGGUUUUUUAAAUUUUAUUUCACUAAAUGUUAUAUAGCCUAAGUUAAUAAAUAUUUUUUAAACAUUUUUUUAAAUGUGUAUGAGUAUUUUGCCUGCAUGUAUGUCUGGUGCAGUGGAAGCCAGAAGAGAAUGCCAGAUCCCUAAGCCUUGAGUUACAGACAGUGAGCGUUGCCAUAUGAGUGCUGGGACUUAAACCCCAGUCCUCUAGAAGAGCAGCUAGUGCUUUUUACCACUGAACCAUCUCUCAAGCCCAAUAAAUGUUAUUUUUAUAUGCA
rnacentral:lncRNA from 1 species